rnacentral:lncRNA from 1 species
AGAUCUAAUAAUGAUGCGUCUCCAGGAGCAAAGAUGAGAGAGAUAGUGGGGGAAAAUGAGCAAAGUGCAUCCCUGAAAGAAGCAAAGUCUCUAACUAUUGCAUUAUCAGUUGCAAACAAAGUGCUACAUGGAACCAUGUUUUAUGAUGCAAGGGGGAGAAAGAGUAUAAUUUCUACUUCUGAUGCAAGAGGCAGAAAUAGUCAACUUUGACGGACGAUCCAUGUUUGAAGAUGCAAUUAGAAAAACCUCUCUCUUACUUGUAAGAUGAAAAAGCAUGAUACAGAUGAGACUGAAAGAAAUAUCUAACUCUUAAGCAUCCUGAUCUAAGGAAUUCAGCUUGAUUUUCCCCCCAAGGCACAGCAAUAUUGGGGAAAAACAGCUCAGAAACUUGGGGUUUUUUUUAAGGUUUAUUUGUUCCAAGAAACCAACUUUCUUUCCA